AGUGGAUAUUUUAAUCUAUUAGCCUGAAAGUUGAGUGCUUUUCCCAAAAACUGUUAUUGGGAGUGGCUGUAACCUAGACACUACCUGUUUCUUGAUUGGACAGAGGUUGGUCUUUGGAGAGCACGGCGACUCAAGUGUGGCUAUGAGAUGCUUAAAAAGAAAGGAUAUACUUCUUGGGGUGUUGCCCUGUCGGUAGCUGAUAUAACGGAAAGUAUUUUGAAGAAUCUUAGGAGCGUGCAUCCAGUUUUCGCCAUAAGUAAGGGGCGAAGCACAGCUGAUCGUUCUGAAUAUCAAAACAUGAGGGCUGGCAGAGUGGCGUGUUGGUUAGCAGUUGGCUUGGGACGCCAGCUCUGAGCAGCAGAGCCCUGGUUC